GAGGGUAUAGCUCAACUGGUAGAGUGCAUCCUUAGCAUGCAUGAGGUCCUGGAUUCAACCCCCAGUACUGCCA
rnacentral:tRNA from 1 species